rnacentral:rRNA from 1 species
UAAUAGGCUCACCAAGACGACGAUCCCUAGCUGGUUUGAGAGGAUGAUCAGCCACACUGGGACUGAGACACGGCCCAGACUCCUACGGGAGGCAGCAGUGGGGAAUAUUGCACAAUGGGCGCAAGCCUGAUGCAGCCAUGCCGCGUGUGUGAAGAAGGCCUUCGGGUUGUAAAGCACUUUCAGUCAGGAGGAAAGGUUAGUAGUUAAUACCUGCUAGCUGUGACGUUACUGACAGAAGAAGCACCGGCUAACUCCGUGCCAGCAGCCGCGGUAAUACGGAGGGUGCGAGCGUUAAUCGGAAUUACUGGGCGUAAAGCGUACGCAGGCGGUUUGUUAAGCGAGAUGUGAAAGCCCCGGGCUCAACCUGGGAACUGCAUUUCGAACUGGCAAACUAGAGUGUGAUAGAGGGUGGUAGAAUUUCAGGUGUAGCGGUGAAAUGUCGUUNAGAUCUGAAGGAAUACCGAUGGCGAAGGCAGCCACCUGGGUCAACACUGACGCUCAG